rnacentral:rRNA from 1 species
CCUACGGGUGGCAGCAGUGGGGGAUAUUGCACAAUGGGGGGAACCCUGAUGCAGCGACGCCGCGUGAGCGAAGAAGUACCUCGGUAUGUAAAGCUCUAUCAGCAGGGAAGAAAAUGACGGUACCUGACUAAGAAGCCCCGGCUAAAUCCGUGCCAGCAGCCGCGGUAAUACGUAUGGGGCAAGCGUUAUCCGGAUUUACUGGGUGUAAAGGGAGCGCAGGCGGCCUGCCAAGUCUGGUGGGAAAACCCGGGGCCCAACCCCGGGCCUGCAUUGGAAACUGGCGGGGCGGAGGGUCGGGAGGGGCGGGCGAAGUUCCGGGGGUGGCGGUGAA